AAAUAAAUAAAAAAACAGGACCCACGUCCCGUCUCCCAGUCUUCCCCACCUCUCUCCCGAUCCAUCCUCUCUCUCGAUCUCGUGAGGAGAAUCGCGGCCGCCGCCUCCGCCCCGAUGCUCGUCUCGCUCGCUGUGGCACAGCCCGUGCAAGCCGCCCUUGUACGGCCUCCUCUCCUUCGCCACCGCAACAAUCGUCGCUUCCAUGGACUAUGUCAACGAAGUCUUCGGAGGUUGACCCCUGUGGGGAAGCUGGCGGGAGCUCACGGCCAACCAGAUCCAGUGCAGCGCCGCCGAUGUCUGGGUGGAAGACGGGCGCUAGCUUCCUGGGUCAGCAUACCACCGGGCAGGAGGGCAGACGGAUGACAGAGGCUCUCCAAGGAGGAAGUCGACCAGCUUGUCACCAGGGGAAGCCGACCAACAUAUAUAGGCAUGGUUGUCAUUGACGGAGAUUGGGUGGACUAUCUUUGAGAUCCUGCGGUACAUGUGAGCAUAACUGGUCGGCGUACGAGGAGGCCCUCAGGGACAAUCCGGUACUUGCCAAGAUGAUGGUCAGCGGCGGCUUCUACUCCCUCGGCGACUGGAUAGCCCAGGGUGCUCGAGCGCGACGACAUGCCUACUGAGUUCCUAGCGCUUGCGAACGCCAGAGUUGGAUGCGCCCAUGCAUGCAUUUUAGCUCCGAGGAUGGCAUCGAGAACGUACACACUCAGGUGCUCCUCAGCAGCAGUUGAUCCACGUGGGGUUCUAUUUGAGUUCCUCCGUCCCCUGGCAGCGAGGCAGCAGGUCCCUGUCCCCCCUCUCCGUCUCCGGCAUGUUGAUCCGGUGGCGUCACAGCGGUGGCGUGUGUGGUGUCAUGUCAUAAUAAGGUAGCAUCUUUUCUUUCCCCACCCUAAUUUUUGUGGUCAGCGUCCGGAGCCCAACCUACCAAUCGUUGUCCCCAAACCUCACCGACUUCUUCUGUGGGUGCUCUUUCUCCCCCCUCUCUCAUUUCACUUGACGCUGAUAGCUGAUUGCUAGCAUCCUCAAUUGUGCUCUUGUCUUCUAAAUUUGGCAUGGUAUGCAUUUGCUUGAGAUGAGGGUAUGGGAUGGAGGUGGCUCUAAUUUCGAGGCUGUGGUUUAUUGGGCUUAUAAUUUCGACAUGAUUAAUGAUAUGAACCGUAUGUUCUGUUUUCCACAAUAUAGCUUUUUUCUAUGCAAUAUGAGGCUACGUUUCAAGUUAUUAUUAUCUAUUGCUUGCAUUCGAUGGUUGUACAGUAACAUGCUCUCUGAGAAAAGGUUAUGUUUCAUAUUAUUAUCUAUUGCCUUGCAUUCGAUGGCAAAUAGACAACCGAUGUGUCAUAUCUUUGCCCACUCAGGAUGCCGAUAAACAGUUCAAAAAAAUAGAAAGACUUAUAUAUUUCACCAUGCUAGCUACAUAUGUUUAUGAUGGUUUAUUUUCACCAAAAUUUUGCUGCACUUUCACAGUUGAGAGAAGCUGAGCAACACACAGUUCCGAAACUGUGCACUGCACAAGGAAGGAAACACUGUAGUAUUAGCUGUUGUAAUCUACGAAAUUUUGUACUGCGUGAGUAAGGUUAAGAAUGGCCAACUGAUUGAACUUGUUCACAACAUUAAUAGUAGUCAUGAUAAACUUAUUAUUCCUGACUUUCUAUGUCUUGUUGUUUUCUACUGUGGACCUAUUUGCAGGUUUUUACAGAGGAAUUAGUUUACGUGAUACUGGUUCACUUGCUACAGCUGAAACAUAUUUUGAUGUUAUUGUUAUUGACUGGAGCACACUAAUCCUAAUCUAAGAGGUCAUUUCUCUCACUUAUUUGCUGGAGGAGUUAGAGAGAAGAUAUUUUCUAUGACUACUGUGUUUUCUUUCCAGAAAAUCUGCAUGACGCGGUGUAAAAUUUAUACUUGUUCUCAGCAUGUUACUAGGAUCUAGCUGCCCAAAUGGAUUUUUGUAUGUCCUGCAUGGAGUUCCCAAUAAGUUAUUCCUUGUCAUUUUUAGUGCCACCAAUGCAUGGGGUCUUUGUAUAUUAGAACUUUUCAUGUCUCUGUUUUGGCUCAUGUAAUACUUACCGAUACGAUUUACUUGUUCAUCAGAAUAAUGUGUUGAUUCCUUGACACAGCAUAAGUUUUUUUUAAGCUCA